GUCUACGGCCAUGCCACCCUAAACACGCCCAAACUCGUCUGAUCUCGGAAGCUAAGUGGAGUCGGGCCCGGUUAGUACUUGGAUGGGAGACUACCUACAAGACCGGGUGCUACAGGCA
rnacentral:rRNA from 1 species